ACGCACCAGAUACGAGCCCGACAGCCCACCUUGUCCCAGGCGUGUUUCACUCUGGGACGUUGCAUGGCUGCGAGGCUUCCAGAACGGUGCGAGAGCAGCAUCAGCCCUGAUAUUUAAGCUUCGCAGUGGGAAGCGUCACUGUCGAGGUUAUGGCUCAGAGGCACAGAG
rnacentral:snoRNA from 14 species